UGCGGGGUGGAGCANNGGUAGCUCGUCGGGCUCAUAACCCGAAGGUCAUCGGUUCAAAUCCGGUCCCCGCUACCA
rnacentral:tRNA from 1 species